UGGCGGACGGGUGAGUAAUGUCUGGGAAACUGCCCGAUGGAGGGGGAUAACUACUGGAAACGGUAGCUAAUACCGCAUAACGUCGCAAGACCAAAGAGGGGGACCUUCGGGCCUCUUGCCAUCGGAUGUGCCCAGAUGGGAUUAGCUAGUAGGUGGGGUAACGGCUCACCUAGGCGACGAUCCCUAGCUGGUCUGAGAGGGUGACCAGCCACACUGGAACUGAGACACGGUCCAG
rnacentral:rRNA from 1 species